rnacentral:rRNA from 1 species
CACUAGUGUAAAUCGUCAUUGCUGCGGUUAAAAAGCUCGUAGUUGGAUCUGAGUUGCAUGCAAUGAUUCGCCUUUGGCGUUAAUCAUUGUUGUGACUAUUUGCUGGUUUUCUAUUGAAAUUUCGAUUUCUUUAGUGGCUAGCGAGUUUACUUUGAAUAAAUUAGAGUGCUCAGAACAAGCGUUUGCUUGAAUGGUCGAUCAUGGAAUAAUAAAAGAGGACUUCGGUUCUAUUUAUUGGUUCAGGAACUGAAGUAAUGAUUAAGAGGGACAAUUCGGGGGCAUUCGUAUCCCUGCGCGAGAGGUGAAAUUCGUGGACCGCAGGGGGACGCCCUAAAGCGAAAGCAUUUGCCAAGAAUGUCUUCAUUAAUCAAGAACGAAAGUCAGAGGUUCGAAGGCGAUUAGAUACCGCCCUAGUUCUGACCGUAAACUAUGCCAUCUAGCGAUCCGAUGGGGUAUUGUUGCCUUGUCGAGGAGCUUCCCGGAAACGAAAGUCUUUCGGUUCCUGGGGUAGUAUGGUUGCAAAGCUGAAACUUAAAGAAAUUGACGGAAUGGCACCACCAGGAGUGGAGCCUGCGGCUUAAUUUGACUCAACACGGGAAAACUCACCCGGCCCGGACACCGUAAGGAUUGACAGAUUGAAAGCUCUUUCUCGAUUUGGUGGUUGGUGGUGCAUGGCCGUUCUUAGUUGGUGGAGCGAUUUGUCUGGUUUAUUCCGAUAACGAGCGAGACUCUAGCCUGCUAAAUAGUGACUAGAUUAUUGUGUCUAGUCUACUUCUUAGAGGGAUAAGCGGUGCUUAGCCGCACGAGAUUGAGCGAUAACAGGUCUGUGAUGCCCUUAGAUGUCCGGGGCUGCACGCGCGCUACAAUGGAAGAAUCAGCUGGCCUAUCCAUUGCCGAAAGGUAUUGGUAAACCGUUGAAACUCUUCCGUGACCGGGAUAGGGAAUUGUAAUUAUUUCCCUUGAACGAGGAAUUCCUAGUAAGUGUGAGUCAUCAGCUCACGCUGAUUACGUCCCUGCCAUUUGUACACACCGCCCGUCGCUGUCCGGGACUGAGCUGUCUCGAGAGGACUGCGGACUACUGUAUUGAGGCCUUCAGGUCGCGAUAUGGCGGGAAACAGUUCAAUCGCAAUGGCUUGAACCGGGUAAAAGUCGUAACAAGGUAUCUGUAGGUGAACCUGCAGAUGGAUCAUCGCUAAAACCACCACAAAACAAACUCAUCAUCAUUAUACGUGAUGUGAUGUGUGGAUGGUUAAUGGAGGAAUGAUCAACGAGAAACCAACAUGCGUCAAUAU